GACGAACGCUGGCGGCGUGCUUAACACAUGCAAGUCGAACGGAAAGGCCCUGCUUUUGUUGGUUGCUCGAGUGGCGAACGGGUGAGUAACACGUGAGUAACCUGCCCUUGACUUUUGUAUAACUUCACGUAACUGUGUCUAAUACCGGAUAUGAUCUCCUGCUGCAUGGUGGUGGUUGGAAAGUUUCGGCGGUUGGGGAUGGACUCGCGGCUGAUCAGCUUGUUGGUGGGGUAGUGGCUUACCAAGGCUUUGACGGGUAGCCGGCCUGAGAGGGUGACCGGCAAAAUUGGGACUGAGAUACGGCCCAGACUCCUAGGGGAGGCAGCAGUGGGGAAUAUUGCAUAAUGGGCGGAAGCCUGAUGCAGCAACGAGGCGUGCGGGAUGAGGGCCUUCGGGGUGUAAACAGCUUUCGCGUGUGACGAAGCGUGAGUGACGGUAAUGGGAUAAGAAGCACCGGCUAACUACGUG
rnacentral:rRNA from 1 species